rnacentral:tRNA from 1 species
UAAAAAGUAAGCUAAAUAAGCUAUUGGGCUCAUAACCCAUUGAUAGAAGUUUUAAUCUUCUCUUUUUUA